UCUCAUCUUCCGAUUGGUUUUCAAUACUUAUUAUCAGGCCCAGUUUCAUCUUGUGGUUGGCCCUGUGAAUUAUUAGGUUUUUUUUCAUCGUCUUCUCACCUUCUCUUUCGUAUGUUUGAAUCUGAUUUCUCCAGUAUCCUAGAGCUUCAAUCAACUCACGUAACUUAAUGUCCUUGAAUCUGUGCUUUAACGUGAUAAAGCCACUACUCCCACUGUAAAGCAUUAACUCGACCUCUUAGCAUCCAAAGUAACCGCCUGAAGCUAGCAGUAUAAAUAAUCCCUCUAGCAACGAUGAACAGAAAAACCUCACUGAGAUCCAGAAGAAAAGUUUGUUCUACUUAUCGACGAUGGCGAAUUUCUUCAUCCUCCUUGCUGAUUUUAAAUUCGGUUGCUGUUCCAACACUUCUGAGGUUCGUUUGCCGAUGUUUGGGAGACCAGGAAUGUGAGGAAAGGCGAUGAACGACUGAGUCUUGACAUGCUACUCAUUGAUGAGCAGCCAACGAUUAUGCAAGGAUCUGUUAGUUCGAGUCGCAUACCCAAAUUCAGGAACCCCUUCAACGAAGGUUCUGUCUACACGCUCAACUGUUUCGAUGUAACCCGGACUAACCCCAAUUUCCGAUUGUCUAUGCCCCCCUCUCAAUACGGUAAGUUCCAAAAAAUUAACAGAUCCCGUUAGGCCCAGACCUACUGAACUGUUUCGAUUCCGACCACACGACAAGUUACUUGCACUGGCAAGCACCAACAAACAACUUCCUGCUGCAGGAAAAGAAGAGUUUGACAAAUAAUUAUUUUUUUCUGUACGGCUAGAAAUUCAGCAAGAUGACGGUUGGUGUUAUAUUGACUGUGGUGGGUGUUCAAAGAAACUUUCCCAAGAGAUAUCUUCAUUCACAUGCCUCGCAUGUAAUGAAACUAAUGUUGCGGCUGCCCUCAAAUAAGUACCGGAUGAUAUUUACUGUCUCAGACGACACUGAUACAACGGCUUUCCUUGGUUUUGAUAUGGAAGUAGCUAGACUGCCGAACAUUCAGGCUUCUCAGGCUGCACAGAUUGUGGGAAUAAGUGUUGAUGCUUAGAGGUUGAUAGUGAACUACCCCGCUCCCUUUCUGAGAAUGUUGGGACUGCCUACACCUUCCUGCUCAGAUUAAAGGAUUUCAAUUUAACUUUAAAGCACCAAACCUUCACAUUUCUCGUAUUUUCCCGGCGUGAGAGCUUGCACCUAUGCUAGCCUUUGUGGAAGGUGCACAGGUCCUUGAAGCAGCGAAACCUGAAGUUAUGGCAUAAGGUUCAGAGCCCAAAGUUGAUAACACUUGCAAUGUUGGAGACAAGCUAUCUACAUCUGAUGGUUCACUUGCCGGACGUACAGCAUCAGAGAAAGAACAAACUGCUUCGGAUGAGAAUGCUCCUAAGAAAGCACGUUUGGAAUGAGUCCACUACUAGGACUUUAACAACCACGUCUUCUCUUUUUUUUUUUUUUAACUCACCACGUCUUCUCUUUAUCUAAUAAUGCAUUAGCAUCUCUUACUUUUCUUUUAAUCUAUUUCCCUUUUUUAUUAAACUCAGUGUAGUGGUUGUUGUUUCGAUUAGUAAUAAAGCAUCUUUUCAAUUUC